GUAGAGAUUCUUCGGAAUCUUGAGAGCGGCGUACGGGUGCGGAACACGUGUGCAACCUGCCUUUAUCAGGGAGAUAGCCUUUCGAAAGGAAGAUUAAUACCCCAUAAUAUAUUAAGUGGCAUCACUUGAUAUUGAAAACUACGGUGGAUAGAGAUGGGCACGCGCAAGAUUAGAUAGUUGGUGAGGUAACGGCUCACCAAGUCUACGAUCUUUAGGGGGCCUGAGAGGGUGAUCCCCCACACUGGUACUGAGACACGGACCAGACUCCUACGGGAGGCAGCAGUGAGGAAUAUUGGACAAUGGGUGAAAGCCUGAUCCAGCCAUCCCGCGUGAAGGACGACGGCCCUAUGGGUUGUAAACUUCUUUUGUAUAGGGAUAAACCUAGAUACGUGUAUCUAGCUGAAGGUACUAUACGAAUAAGCACCGGCUAACUCCGUGCCAGCAGCCGCGGUAAUACGGAGGGUGCAAGCGUUAUCCGGAUUUAUUGGGUUUAAAGGGUCCGUAGGCGGAUCUGUAAGUCAGUGGUGAAAUCUCACAGCUUAACUGUGAAACUGCCAUUGAUACUGCAGGUCUUGAGUGUUGUUGAAGUAGCUGGAAUAAGUAGUGUAGCGGUGAAAUGCAUAGAUAUUACUUAGAACACCAAUUGCGAAGGCAGGUUACUAAGCAACAACUGACGCUGAUGGACGAAAGCGUGGGGAGCGAACAGGAUUAGAUACCCUGGUAGUCCACGCCGUAACGAUGCUAACUCGUUUUUGGAUUUUCGGAUUCAGAGACUAAGCGAAAGUGAUAAGUUAGCCACCUGGGGAGUACGUUCGCAAGAAUGAAACUCAAAGGAAUUGACGGGGGCCCGCACAAGCGGUGGAUUAUGUGGUUUAAUUCGAUGAUACGCGAGGAACCUUACCAAGGCUUAAAUGGGAAAUGACAGGUUUAGAAAUAGACUUUUCUUCGGACAUUUUUCAAGGUGCUGCCAUGGUUGGUUCCCAGCUCGUGCCGUGAGGUGUUAGGUUAAGUCCUGCAACGAGCGCAACCCCUGUCACUAGUUGCCAUCAUUAAGUUGGGGACUCUAGUGAGACUGCCUACGCAAGUAGAGAGGAAGGUGGGGAUGACGUCAAAUCAUCACGGCCCUUACGCCUUGGGCCACACACGUAAUACAAUGGCCAGUACAGAGGGCAGCUACACAGCGAUGUGAUGCAAAUCUCGAAAGCUGGUCUCAGUUCGGAUUGGAGUCUGCAACUCGACUCUAUGAAGCUGGAAUCGCUAGUAAUCGCGCAUCAGCCAUGGCGCGGUGAAUACGUUCCCGGGCCUUGUACACACCGCCCGUCAAGCCAUGGAAGUCUGGGGUACCUGAAGUCUGUGACC
rnacentral:rRNA from 1 species